GUAGAAGUGCUAUUCCUGCGCAUUUCAAAAUGGCUGCCUCCAUGAAAUCUCAAAGUUUAGCUAAUUUUCUAAACUUUCUGAUUUAAAUAAUCCAGGAUUAGACAAACUACUGCUAUGGAGUUGCUGCUUUGGACCAUCAAUGUACCACAAAGUUUGGAGUUUAUCCACAGCAACUGUGAAAGCUUUCCAGUUAGCACGCGUCCUGGAUAUGUUUUAUUCCAAGAGAGGCGAGGAUGGAGGAAGUUGUCUCCGCUUCAGAUCUAUCUCCAUUGGAGCCAGGCAUCACAGGAGGAACCAUGGCCCCCUUCUCCUGCUCGGCU